rnacentral:rRNA from 1 species
UACAGGGGGGGCAAGCGUUGUUCGGAUUUACUGGGUGUAAAGGGCGCGCAGGCGGAUUGACAAGUCAGAGGUGAAAUCCUGCAGCUUAACUGCAGAACUGCCUUUGAAACUGUCAAUCUUGAGUACGGAAGAGAGAGACGGAAUUCCAGGUGUAGUGGUGAAAUACGUAGAUAUCUGGAAGAACACCAGUUGCGAAGGCGGUCUCUUGGUCCGUUACUGACGCUCAGGCGCGAAAGCGUGGGUAGCAAACAGG